UACAUAGGUCGCGAGCGUUAUUCGGAUUUAUUGGGCGUAAAGAGAGCGCAGGCGGAUGAAUAAGUUCUGUGUUAAAAACAGCAGCUCAACUGUUGUUUGCGCCGAAUACUGUUCGUCUUGAAUACGGUAGAAAGUUUUGGAAUUGAAUGUGGAGCGGUGGAAUGUGUAGAUAUAUUCAAGAACACCAGAGGCGAAGGCGAAAACUUAGGCCGAUAUUGACGCUUAGGCUCGAAAGUGUGGGGAGCAAAUG
rnacentral:rRNA from 1 species